rnacentral:rRNA from 1 species
AUUGAACGCUGGCGGAAUGCUUUACACAUGCAAGUCGAACGGUAGAGGGGGCAACCCCUCGAGAGUGGCGAACGGGUGAGUAAUAUAUCGGAACGUGCCCAGUCGUGGGGGAUAACGUAGCGAAAGUUACGCUAAUACCGCAUACGAUCUAAGGAUGAAAGCGGGGGAUCGCAAGACCUCGCGCGAUUGGAGCGGCCGAUAUCAGAUUAGGUAGUUGGUGGGGUAAAGGCUCACCAAGCCAACGAUCUGUAGCUGGUCUGAGAGGACGACCAGCCACACUGGAACUGAGACACGGUCCAGACUCCUACGGGAGGCAGCAGUGGGGAAUUUUGGACAAUGGACGAAAGUCUGAUCCAGCCAUUCCGCGUGCAGGAUGAAGGCCCUCGGGUUGUAAACUGCUUUUGUACGGAACGAAAAGGUCUCUAUUAAUACUAGGGGCUCAUGACGGUACCGUAAGAAUAAGCACCGGCUAACUACGUG